rnacentral:lncRNA from 1 species
GUCAACUAUAUUUGUUGUAUGGAAGAACUGUUAGCUGUGCAUGUCUGUCUGGCAUGGUUCAUCUGACCUUGACCUCAUUUUCAUGGUUCAUUGGUCAAUGUUUAGUUUUCUUGGUUAAAUUUUUGUGACAGUUGUAAUGAAGCUUUAUAUUUAGGACCAUCAACAUAUUAUAAAUGAUUAGUAAAGAAGGCGAGACAUUUCAGCGUGUGCACUCUUGUGUAGUUUCUGGACAAUAGCUUUUGUGUUAGUGUAAGCAUCUCUUGACAUUGUACCACAAGGUUCCAUAUCACAAAAGGAAGGCUGGGAUUGAGGGGCCAAAAAGAAGCAUUUUUCUUUUUUCCAGAUAAUAACUUGUUUAAGUGUAUGGAUCUCUAUGAAAUUGUACUACAAGGUUCCAUGCUACUAAGGAGACUGGGAUCGAGUGUGGGGGUAAUUGCUCCAAGGGGGGUUUCAAAAAGUUAUGGGGGG